AUAGACCACGAUGGAGCAAGGUGAAUAAGUUUUACUCUUAAAGAUUAUUAUAAGGUGCAGUUGGUAGAUUUAGAAGAACAUUAAAGAGAACAGACCCGUGGAUUCCUAAGAAGGCGACAAGAUGUCAACUGAAGAGAACACUGCCACGUUAUCCAUAGUGAGCAGAUCUGGAAGGGUCCAGAAAAAAUCAUUUUAGUUGCAAUCUGAAAAUUUAAAAGAAUUAUUAUUAUAUGAAAAUUUGUACCCUUAUAAAAUUAAUCGUACUUUAAUAGGUAUAAAAAUAUAAUUAUUAAAUAUUAUGAAAAAACUGAAGAAGUUGUUAGUCUUUUGGAAGAAUCCUCGGAAGAGAAUACGAAAGAGACAAACAAUAUAGUAACAAUGGGAGAAAAGCUCAUCAAAAUUGAAUCUCGAGUAGAUAUGUAUUUUGAAAGACGUUUGAAAAAUUCAACGGACCCUUCAGUAAAGAGUGUAAGACAUCAAAAUAUUCAGGCAAAAUUAUCAAACCAAAUUGAAGAAAAUAUCAAACAAGCAGACUUCCGGAAAUGGAUUGAGAGCUGCGAUAAUUAUGUAUGUUCAUAUGUCUUCCAGGACUUUUUCAAUGGAUUUGCUUGUAUUUGCUGGAAUAUCCAUAAUAUAUCGGAUUUUUGUAAUGAACUCUGAUAAACACCAAGUCGAAAAUAUAGAAAUUGGUUUUUCCCUUGUUUUUUUUUUUACACAUGUGGGUAAAAAGAGCGUAAUUAUUACAAGUCUCCAACCAAUUAAGGAAGUCAGAAUAUCUUAUUCCAUCUCCAUCUCUGAUUUACUUUCUAAAUAUACAUCUAUUUGAGCUUCAAUAUUAAUUAGAUCUCUUCUACGUCACUGGCCUUUUCGACUUCAAGUUUGUAUUCCAGAGAAGAUUCCUCAAGAAGCACAAAUAAUUCCUCUGUUUUCUCCUUAAAUUUCUCGGUAGCUUUCCUUAUUAUUUCUAACGUCCUCCAAAUUUUAAAAGUAUUUGGGACAUAAUUCUCCAUGAGCUUUUCGAUGUUCUUUAUUUGUGCAUCAGACCAUCUUAUUUGCUUACCUCUAGAUCUUUGAAGAUUGAUCAAUGGAGAUGUUUGAUCUAUUUUGAUCAUUUUUGGAAUAAUACCUUCAUCUAGGAGUUCUUCUGUACUUCUGGUCUCACGUUGCCUACGACUUUUUCUUCUUUAUAGUAAAUCUUUGGAGUUCGAUUAGGACUGCCAACUGCACCAUGUGGUAUCCGAUCCUAUCUCAGAUAUAUUCUUAGAAUAAUCACGGAAUAAAUACGAAAAACUUCUACAAAGGUCCGUGCAUAUUACAAAUCUAUUUGUAUUUUAAACUUGGUAAGAAUUCACCCAUAAUAACAAUAAUAGAUUGCAUAGAUACAUAUAUAUAACAAUAUUGUAAUGCUUCAUUUAAUAGUAAUUAAGACAAAAUCCCAAAAAGUAUAAAAUGUAUCAUGGCCACUUAAUACUCUUUUGCACUCUCCCCAUUUUAUUCAUUCGACACUACGUAUCAAGGAGUAAUUCCUGAAUGAAAAUUAUACUCCUUCACUUGGAAAAUCAUCCAAAACGAUAAAAAUCUCUUCACUUUCUUCAUUAAUCGUUCUUUAGUCACUAAGGAAACCUAUUCCGAGGUUUGCAAUUCUUUUACAUUAACAAAAAGGGAAGAUGAUGAGAUUCACUCGAAACUCAACUUGAAGUUCUUUCCGAAGAAA
rnacentral:lncRNA from 1 species